rnacentral:rRNA from 1 species
CCUACGGGUGGCAGCAGUGAGGAAUAUUGGUCAAUGGACGAGAGUCUGAACCAGCCAAGUAGCGUGACGGAUGACUGUCCUAUGGGUUGUAAACUUCUUUUAUAAGGGAAUAAAUCGCGGCACGUGUGUCUUUUCGCAUGUACUUUAUGAAAAAGGAUCGGCGAACUCCGUGCCAGCAGCCACGGUAAUACGGAGAAUCCGAGCGUUAUCCGGAUUUAUUGGGUUUAAAGGGGUCGUAGAGGGGUUGUUAAGUCAGUUGUGAAAUGUUGCGGCUCAACCGGAAAAUUGCAAUUGAUACUGGAAGUCGUGAGUACAGUUGAGGUAUGCGGAAUUCGUGGUGUAGCGGUG